rnacentral:rRNA from 1 species
AGUGAACGCUGGCGGUAGGCCUAACACAUGCAAGUCGAACGGCAGCACAGUAAGAGCUUGCUCUUACGGGUGGCGAGUGGUGGACGGGUGAGGAAUACAUCGGAAUCUACUUUUUCGUGGGGGAUAACGUAGGGAAACUUACGCUAAUACCGCAUACGACCUACGGGUGAAAGCAGGGGAUCUUCGGACCUUGCGCGAUUGAAUGAGCCGAUGUCGGAUUAGCUAGUUGGCGGGGUAAAGGCCCACCAAGGCGACGAUCCGUAGCUGGUCUGAGAGGAUGAUCAGCCACACUGGAACUGAGACACGGUCCAGACUCCUACGGGAGGCAGCAGUGGGGAAUAUUGGACAAUGGGCGCAAGCCUGAUCCAGCCAUACCGCGUGGGUGAAGAAGGCGUUCGGGUUGUAAAGCCCUUUUGUUGGGAAAGAAAAGCAGCAGGUUAAUACCCCGCUGUUCUGACGGUACCCAAAGAAUAAGCACCGGCUAACUUCGUG